rnacentral:misc_RNA from 1 species
UCGAAUUUAUAAAAUUCUACUGUAAACAUUUCUAAUGAAUCCCACAGCCACCUAUUUACCAAACUGACAAAUUUAACUAAGCAAAAACAGAAAGCCUCAAGUUUUAGAAUGACAAAGCAUAUUUAUCAUGUUUCUUCAUGAGUAGACUAAGGUCAUUUGAGAAGCUUACUACAGUAUCAACGUUGCAAUAAUUUCAUCAAAAUCGAUUUCAAACAAGAUAGAUGA